rnacentral:rRNA from 1 species
CCUACGGGAGGCAGCAGUGGGGAAUAUUGCGCAAUGGGCGCAAGCCUGACGCAGCGACGCCGCGUGAGGGAUGAAUGUCUUCGGAGCGUAAACCUCUGUCAGCAGGGAAGAACGGUCACUGUGCUAAUCAGCAGUGAAUUGACGGUACCUGCAAAGGAAGCACCGGCUAACUCCGUGCCAGCAGCCGCGGUAAUACGGAGGGUGCGAGCGUUAAUCGGAAUUACUGGGCGUAAAGCGCUCGUAGGCGGUAUGUCAAGUCAACGGUGAAAGCCCCGCGCUCAACGUGGGAACUGCCUUUGAAACUGGCAAACUGGAGUGUGUGAGAGGAUAGUGGAAUUCCAGGUGUAGGAGUGAAAUCCGUAGAUAUCUGGAGGAACAUCAGUGGCGAAGGCGACUAUCUGGCACAUAACUGACGCUGAGGAGCGAAAGCGUGGGUAGCAAACAGGAUUAGAUACCCCAGUAGUC